rnacentral:lncRNA from 1 species
CCUAAUGUUGGCAAAAAGGCGACUAGAGAAUGGAGGCCCUAUGUCUAAAAAGCUCAACUCAGGGAUUGGAGCCCCAAUGUUGGCAAAAGGCGACUAGGGAAUGGAGGCCCUAUGUCUAAAAAGCUCAACUCAGGGAUUAGAGCCCUAAUGUUGGCAAAAGGUGACUAGGGAAUGGAAGCACUGUGUCUAAAAAGCUCAACUCAGGGAUUGGAGCCCUAAUACUGGCAAAAGGCGACUAGGGAAUGGAGGCCCUAUGUCUAAAAAGCUCAACUUAGGGAUUGGAGCCCUAAUGUUGGCAAAAACGACUAGGGAAUGGAGGCCCUGUGUCUAAAAAGGCUCAACUCAGGGAUUGGAGCCCUAAUGUUGGCGGAUAAAGCAACUAGGGAAUGGAGGCCCUAUGUCU